GUCGCCCAGCAGGAAGCGGCCCCCGGCUGCUAGACCGAAGGCGACCGCCUCACGCUGGAACUCGAGCAGGGAACCCUUAAGAGCGCUGAGGUCC
rnacentral:SRP_RNA from 14 species